GUCUACUUGUCUCGAACGUGAUGCCUAUGCACAUGAUCGUUGCCUUGAAUGUCGUCAUAACUAUGCGCUUUUCUAUCAAUUGCCCAACAGUAAUUUAUUCACCUACCGUAUGCUAUGUGUUCGAGAGAGAAGCUUCUCGUGAAAACAAUGGCCCCGGGUCUACUUUUAACAUAUAUCUUUUCCUAAUCCUAAUCCUAAUCCUAAUCCUAAUCCUAAUAAUAAUAAAGCACCGAUUGAGUCUGCCGGGUUCACCGUCGCGGCACAUUUUAAACAAAGGUCCCUAUGGUUUAUAGGAAUCAACCCACAGUCCACAGCCAAGUGAAAAAAAAAAAUUCAUACGCAGACCUAACUAGCGCGUCGUUGGCAUUGCUGCCCCGCACGAGAAGAGGAGGGUUCCCUCCGCCGCCGCCGCGCCUGCAUCCGUCCUCUCCGCGGUGCCCGUCCUCGCUCCGCCGUUGCCAAAUCGUACGAGAUUGGCAGGAUCCGCCGCAUCUUGCGCGCCGCCGCCGGUGCUUCACCUGUCGCCGGCCUCCUUCCAGUUCCCUUCGUCGCCGAGGACAAGCACGCCAAGUUCCCAUGCCUUUUCCAGCGGUGCUGAUGACGAGUUGUUCCCCAACUGAAGGAACAGAUCAAGGCCAUGGGAUCCAGCCGGUGAGAGUCCCUUGACCGCAUCACCUUGCCGAACACAUGGUGGGGGACAGCAUGGACGAGCUGCUCGUCGGCCAUGCGGGGAACACGGAGGAGCUGCUCGUCGGCAUCCAUCCCGUGCACCCAGCCCCCGCCGACGGUGGCCUCCCAUCACCCUCGACGGCGCGCGCCUCCAGCAUCUCGAGAAUCAUCGCCCACCUCCCUGGGAGAGCUCCUCCUACCCCUGGAGGAGGCGCAUGAGCCGAGCCCGGCCAUCACGCGCCCGUGGCCAACAACAACCUCCAGGUUGCAUCAGCGUUCGGUGGCAUGGGCAUGCUCUCCACUCAUUGAUUUUUGUAUGGAAGAUUUUUCUGAGUGGGGGCAACGCCCAUGGGUGCUGUGUAGGAGUCACUGAAAAAAUAGCGCGCUAUAGCGUAUUGAGAAUUGUCUCGCUAAAUAUAUUAAUGUACAAUGUCUCGCUAAUAGCACGCUAUAGCGCGAUAUAACACGCUGAUAGCGUAUUUUGAGGUCGGCGCUAUUUUACUGUAGCGCGCUAUUUUUUUUCAUUGGUAGGAGUACAUGUUCAAGACAAUCAACAGCUUCUUUGAUGACUUCCUCACCUAAUGGUCAGGUACAAUUUUGCGACCGUGAAUAGAUGUCUAAUAGGUUUGUUGGCUACUUCUGAAUGUUCAUAAUCUGUAAAACCAUUCAAAUUUACUAUGAUUUUGCUUGAACAGGGGCGCCGCCGUAUGAGGAAUGACACUUUGUGGCUAGCAGUGGCGAUGACCACCACUGGACACGAGGGAUCAACAUGCUGACGGCACGAGCUCAUCCUCGGAGUUAACUUCCACCACUUUCACUAAUUUGGACUCACUUCUCUUCGGUCCAAAUAUUUGGACUCUCAGUUAACUUCCUGCUUUUCAGAAGUUUAAUUUAGUUCCACCAUUUGUAAUUCUUCAGCAACAGUUAGUCGUCGGCCGUGAGGCGGUUAGAGAACAUGGUGACUGUAGCAUAAGCUACACAGCCGGUUUUUGCGCCCGAUCACCUGCCUUGCUACUUGUGCGUGAUUAUGAUCUGAUUUGUAUGCAACUCUGACAUGUGAAAAUAAUGAAGCUGCCAGCUGGUUCUUUGCAAGUUCCAGAGAGCUUUUGUGUUCGUUUUAAUUUUGAUAGAAAUUUGGUUUUCAGUUCUUGGAUGUAUAGCUCAUCUACUGUAGCAGUUAUCUUUUGUUAACUGGAACAGUUAACUUCAUUGUUACUGUAGUGGGUUGCUAUUAUAAAUUGAGAAAAAAAAUAACUGAUGCAGUUAGCUGUGAGAUGCAGUUCUCGUUGGAAAUUGAUGGUCCCGUUAGCUUUAAAAAAACCAGAAAGUUUAAUUUGCAUUUUACAAAACAAUUCAUUUUUGAUGGUCCAGUUAGCUUUAGAAAAAACUGAGGGACGUUGUGCAGUUUGUUUUUCUUUUGCUGAGAAAAUGUAGUAGUUAGAUGAGCACUCCCGCCAUGGUUGUAGGAAUAGAGAAAUGUAGCAGUUACGAGUUUAUUUGUCUUUGUUGCUUCGGGCCACAAGAGAAAAACUGUGAAAAAUUGUUGUAGCAGUUAACAUGUAAAAAUGUCACAGUUAAUGUGUGAGAGAAAAGUUACCGUGUUACAGAAAGAGGAAAAUAUUUGUUGUACCAGAAGUUAACUAUUCAAUUUACCAGUAGUUUUUUUGCAGAGGUAAUUUAGCAGCAAAAUUAGCAUCGUUUUUCUUCAGUCCACUUUUUGUGUGCGUUCAAUCAUGUAUCGUCGUCUCUAUUUGGCAUGAUUUGCAGCGAGUUUCUUCAGUGUCUAUUUUUAUUCCAGUGCCUUGUUCUUUCUGGCAAGACAGUGCUUGUGUUAAUGCCUAUGGUAGAUUAGCAUGUAUUAUGAUUAAGAACUACAAUUGAUCAGCAUAUUGAGUAAGCAAGAUGGUCGGCAAUCAAACUGAGUGCUAGCAUUAAGCUUGAAUCCUGGUCGUUCCUUCUCCCCUUCUCUGUUUUGCUAUGGUCUGAAUAUUCUGAAUUUUGAAUACUUGCAGGUACCUUCUGAACUGAACUUUGAACACUUGCAUGUGGAUUCUGAACUGAAGUUUGAAGGCAUGCAGGCAACUUUAUUUCAAGCAUCGGGUUGUCUUGGGACCCGACACCGAUGAGGUCGGAGACGAUGGUUCAUGGCGGAGGCCGUCGACAACGGCCAGGACACCAGAAAAAACCAGCGCGUCUCCCUCGCGCGAGUGUUGAAUCAGUCGUGUGAAAAUUCUGCGUGACAUUUGUAUGCCCAAUAUGUGCCCGGGCACCGCCACUGCUCCGUGCCUGCCACAACGUCAGCCGCCACUAGCCCUCCCGUUUCUGCAUUGUCUCCACCACGGGCGUGGUAGCCCGUGCAGCCACCUCAAGCGUCCUCCAUCGCCCAUGCCUAUGUCCCCUGUGUGACGCGGGAUCCGCCUCAUCGGGCGAGGAAACCGGCACCUCGGCUGCCAUCUCACACAUGUCGGCAUGCACCUGGGUGUGCGGUGAGAAUGAUGCAUUUUCCCAACAGGACAUCUUUCUUUAGCAAACUUUAUGUUUUUACAAGGAUAGUUUGCAAGAUAGUGGUACUAUCGUAACGUAUUGUAGUGUCUUCUGGUGACAUGGUUUUUAGUAGCCAUGGUGACAUCAGGUGAUCCUUAUGAGCAGAACUACCAUGACAAGCAUACGGGUCAAUAGAAUCGAGAAAGUUGCAUUUUAUUUGCUCUAUUAAAAAAUGGAUUCAAUUUCAAUGAAAA